rnacentral:rRNA from 1 species
GACGAACGCUGGCGGCGUGCCUAAUACAUGCAAGUAGAACGCAGUUGCUGACGGGUGAGUAACGCGUAGGUAACUGCCUGGUAUCGGGGGAGAACUAUUGGUAUUGAUAGCUAAUACCGCUUACUACAAGAUGGACCUGCGUUGUACUAGCUAGUUGGAGGGGGAACGGCUCACCAAGGCAACGAUACAUAGCCGGCCUGAGUGGGUGAUCAACCCCCCUGGGACGGAGACACGGCCCAGAGACCUACCUAAUACAACAUUAACAAAUCUUCAAAAAUUGACGGAAGUCUGACCCAACGACGCCGCGGGAGUGAAGAAAAUUUUCGGAUCAUAAAUCUCUGUUGUAAGAGAAGCGGUAUCUUACCAGAAAGGGGCGGCUAACUACGUGCCAGCAGCCGCGGUAAUAC